AUGAAACUGAGCACCAUGAGUACUUUCGAUAUAUUUCUCCUUCUUGCCAUAUUUCUCCUGCUCACACCAGCUGAAUCUAAAAGUAAACAGCGAUAUAUAAAUUGCAGGCGCAAAACUGGAAAGUGGGGACGCUGCAUUAUGAAAGGAUCUCCAUGUCCUGGCGUCACCCAUUCAAAUCGCGUUUGCAAUUCGGCAGCCAUUUGCUGUGUGCCCAAUCCUGAAAAUACUGAGACAAUAUUAAUAGAAAAACAUUAUUAAGCACUUCAGGACCGAAAAAGAAAUAUACCAAGUCAGUUUAACAAA